UGCCAUUAGCGCGUAACGAGAGACUGC
rnacentral:piRNA from 1 species